rnacentral:rRNA from 1 species
GCCAGAGAGGGUGAGAGCCCCGUAAGCGAAAUCCAAAGAAGGCCUAUCAGUAUCCUGAGUAGGGCGGGACACGUGAAAUCCCGUUUGAAUCCGCGAGGACCAUCUCGCAAGGCUAAAUACUAACCAGUGACCGAUAGUGAACCAGUACCGUGAGGGAAAGGUGAAAAGAACCCCGGGAGGGGAGUGAAAGAGAACCUGAAACCGUGUGCCUACAAGUAGUCAGAGCCCGUUAACGGGUAAUGGCGUGCCUUUUGUAGAAUGAACCGGCGAGUUGCGUUAGUCAGCAAGGUUAAGUCAGAAAAGACGGAGCCGCAGCGAAAGCGAGUCUGAAGAGGGCGAGCAGUUGGCUGACGCAGACCCGAAACCAAGUGACCUACCCAUGACCAGGUUGAAGGCGCGGUAAAACGCGCUGGAGGACCGAACCCACGUAAGUUGAAAAUUGCGGGGAUGAGUUGUGGGUAGCGGUGAAAUUCCAAACGAACUUGGAGAUAGCUGGUUCUCUCCGAAAUAGCUUUAGGGCUAGCCUCGCAAAGAGGAUGCUGGAGGUAGAGCUCUGUUUGGACUAGGGGCCCGUCAAGGGUUACUGAAUUCAGAUAAACUGCGAAUUCCAGACAUUUAUGUGCGGGAGUCAGACUGCGAGUGAUAAGAUCCGUAGUCGAAAGGGAAACAGCCCAGAUCACCAGUUAAGGUCCCAAAAUUCAUGCUAAGUGGAAAAGGAUGUGGAGUUGCGCAGACAACUAGGACGUUGGCUCAGAAGCAGCCAUCAUUCAAAGAGUGCGUAAUAGCUCACUAGUCGAGUGACGCCGCGCCGAAAAUUUACCGGGGCUAAGCAUGAUACCGAAACUGUGGAUGUGCAUUUAUGCACGUGGUAGGAGAGCGUUCUAGCGGCGGUGAAGCAUGACCGAGAGGACAUGUGGAGCUUCUAGAAGUGAGAAUGCCGGUAUGAGUAACGAAAGACAGGUGAGAAUCCUGUCCGCCGCAAGACUAAGGUUUCCUGGGGCAGGCUCGUCCGCCCAGGGUAAGUCGGGACCUAAGGCGAGGCCGAGAGGCGUAGUCGAUGGACAACAGGUUGAAAUUCCUGUACUGCACCGAAUCGUUAUGAGCGAUGGAGGGACGCAGGAGGCUAGCAGCGCGUGGUGCUGGAUACCACGUUCAAGCGUCAAGUCUGAGAGCGAGUCAAAUGCUUGCUUUCAUAAGGACAAGGCGUGAUGAGGAGCGAAAUUAAAGUAACGAAGGCUGCGACGUCACACUGCCGAGAAAAGCUUCUAGCCAGAAACGGUGCACCCGUACCGCAAACCCGACACAGGUAGUCGAGGAGAGUAUCCUCAGGUGAGCGAGAGAACUCUCGUUAAGGAACUCGGCAAAAUGGCCCCGUAACUUCGGGAGAAGGGGCGCUGGUCGCAAGAUCAGCCGCAGUGAAAAGGCCCAAGCAACUGUUUAUCAAAAACACAGGCAUCUGCAAAAUCGUAAGAUGAAGUAUAGGUGCUGACACCUGCCCGGUGCUGGAAGGUUAAGAGGAGAGCUUAGCGCAAGCGAAGGUUUGAAUUGAAGCCCCAGUAAACGGCGGCCGUAACUAUAACGGUCCUAAGGUAGCGAAAUUCCUUGUCGGGUAAGUUCCGACCUGCACGAAAGGUGUAAUGAUUUGGGCACUGUCUCAACGAGAGACUCGGUGAAAUUAUAAUACCCGUGAAGAUGCGGGUUACCCGCGACAGGACGGAAAGACCCCAUGGAGCUUUACUGCAGUUUAAUAUUGGGUAUCUGUCAAGCAUGUACAGGAUAGGUAGGAGCCGGAGAAGAUAGGACGCCAGUCUUAUCUGAGGCGCUGUUGGGAUACUACCCUUGCUUGACGGAUGCUCUAACUCAGGCCUGUGAUCCAGGCCGAGGACAGUGUUUGACGGGCAGUUUGACUGGGGCGGUCGCCUCCUAAAGUGUAACGGAGGCGCCCAAAGGUUCCCUCAGAAUGGUUGGAAAUCAUUCGCAGAGUGUAAAGGCAAAAGGGAGCUUGACUGCGAGAGAGACAACUCGAGCAGGUACGAAAGUAGGGCUUAGUGAUCUGGUGGUACCGCAUGGAAGGGCCAUCACUCAACGGAUAAAAGCUACCCUGGGGAUAACAGGCUUAUCUCCCCCAAGAGUUCACAUCGACGGGGAGGUUUGGCACCUCGAUGUCGGCUCGUCGCAUCCUGGGGCUGAAGUCGGUCCCAAGGGUUGGGCUGUUCGCCCAUUAAAGCGGCACGCGAGCUGGGUUCAGAACGUCGUGAGACAGUUCGGUCCCUAUCCGUCGUGGGCGCAGGAAAUUUGAGAGGAGCUGUCCUUAGUACGAGAGGACCGGGAUGGACGCACCGCUGGUGUACCAGUUGUCUUGCCAAAGGCAUCGCUGGGUAGCUAUGUGCGGACGGGAUAAGCGCUGAAAGCAUCUAAGUGCGAAGCCCCCCUCAAGAUGAGAUUUCCCAUUUCUUCAAGAAAGUAAGACACCUCAGAGACGAUGAGGUAGAUAGGCCGGGAGUGGAAGAGCCGUGAGGCUUGGAGCGGACCGGUACUAAUCAGUCGAGGACUUGACCAAA